CACGCUUCAUUCCUGCCUACCAAUUUCACCAUCCAAAAUUGCAUGCCUAGUUAAAACUAUCUCCUUGACAAGGUUCCUGUAAGUGAAGGGUCUAACUGCUGCUCGCAAGAACAACUCUGGAGGAAUUUUACUCCUCCGAAUCCUCUUCCUCCAUCUGCCAAUUCCUGCAACUUUCCAUUCUUCUGGACUCACUUUUGCUCUAACACCUCUCAAGGCAGUUUCAUCUUCAUCUUUAUUUUUUAUCUUUUCCCGCGUUU
rnacentral:misc_RNA from 1 species